ACUUUCAGCCCAGGCAAGGGGAGGAGAGCAAACCCGAAGAUGGUAACCUGCUCCCCUGGGCCAGAGGAAGCAGAGACCUUCUCAUGAGGACCAGCUACAGCCUUGACUUGGUUCUCGAGCUCCAGAUUUGGCAAACUCACCUAUCUCCACAGAGAAGUCUCACGGCCUUCCAAGCUGAAUAAAAUAAAACGCCACUCUUUGCUCACAACGAGCCAGAUUCAUCUUCCAAAGCACCGCUGUCCUCUCCAAGCUGCAGUCUCUCGCUCUCUUGCCCUUAGAAUUUGGUGUCAGAAGUGAGAAUACAGAGUAAAACUUCAGCAACCCCCAGGAACACCAGGGAACCAGACCAGAUACCUGCAACGCCAGCUGUGCCCAUUGAUCUCUUGUUUGUAACUGGAGGUCGUGGCUGAAUUUUCUCUCAGAUUCCAAGAUCCAAGAAUUUGUGUUCUCAGCUCUCCAAGUUUGUUUGAGCAAUCUCUGGACUGGGCUGGGUUUGGGAUUGGAUUGGAUUCGAUAAUCAACCGGAUUAGAUUCGGUUAGAGGCUGAAGG